rnacentral:rRNA from 6 species
UGACCUCAAAUCAGGUGGGACUACCCGCUGAACUUAA